AAAUUUAGCAAGUGUACUAAAUAGCCGUCAAGUAGUAUAAUAAAAUCGUUCUUUCCGCAGGGAUUGUUGUAAAUCAAUUGUAAAUUGAAGAUAUACUUAUGUAAAUUGACAUAAAUUGUAAAGGGGGGUCUUGUUUGGUUUCAAGUUUAAAUUUUUAAACUUUGGAAUUGCUUUAGUGUUUAGAUUGAUGUAAGAAAAGCG
rnacentral:lncRNA from 1 species